GCCUAGGUGGGAUUAGCUAGUUGGUGAGGUAAGGGCUCACCAAGGCGACGAUCCCUAGCUGGUCUGAGAGGAUGAUCAGCCACACUGGAACUGAGACACGGUCCAGACUCCUACGGGAGGCAGCAGUGGGGAAUAUUGCACAAUGGGCGCAAGCCUGAUGCAGCCAUGCCGCGUGUGUGAAGAAGGCCUUCGGGUUGUAAAGCACUUUCAGUCGUGAGGAAGGUAGUGUAGUUAAUAGCUGCAUUAUUUGACGUUAGCGACAGAAGAAGCACCGGCUAACUCCGUGCCAGCAGCCGCGGUAAUACGGAGGGUGCGAGCGUUAAUCGGAAUUACUGGGCGUAAAGCGCAUGCAGGUGGUUUGUUAAGUCAGAUGUGAAAGCCCGGGGCUCAACCUCGGAAUUGCAUUUGAAACUGGCAGACUAGAGUACUGUAGAGGGGGGUAGAAUUUCAGGUGUAGCGGUGAAAUGCGUAGAGAUCUGAAGGAAUACCGGUGGCGAAGGCGGCCCCCUGGACAGAUACUGACACUCAGAUGCGAAAGCGUGGGGAGCAAACAGGAUUAGAUACCCUGGUAGUCCACGCCGUAAACGAUGUCUACUUGGAGGUUGUGGCCUUGAGCCGUGGCUUUCGGAGCUAACGCGUUAAGUAGACCGCCUGGGGAGUACGGUCGCAAGAUUAAAACUCAAAUGAAUUGACGGGGGCCCGCACAAGCGGUGGAGCAUGUGGUUUAAUUCGAUGCAACGCGAAGAACCUUACCUACUCUUGACAUCCAGAGAACUUUCCAGAGAUGGAUUGGUGCCUUCGGGAACUCUGAGACAGGUGCUGCAUGGCUGUCGUCAGCUCG
rnacentral:rRNA from 1 species